rnacentral:rRNA from 1 species
AUUGAACGCUGGCGGCAGGCCUAACACAUGCAAGUCGAGCGGAUGAAGGGAGCUUGCUCCUGGAUUCAGCGGCGGACGGGCGAGUAAUGCCUAGGAAUCUGCCUGGUAGUGGGGACUAAGGUCGGGAAAGGGGACCUAAUCCCGUACCGGACAAGAGGUUGAAGGGGGGGGUUCUCGGGACACAACCCUUUCGGCUGUCCCUAGGUCGGAUUAGCUAGUUGGUGGGGUAAAGGCGUACCAAGGCGACGAUCCGUACCUGGUCUGAGAGGAUGAUCAGUCACACUGGAACUGAGACACGGUCCAGACUCCUACGGGAGGCAGCAGUGGGGAAUAUUGGGCAAUGGGCGAAAGCCUGAUCCAGCCAUGCCGCGUGUGUGAAGAAGGUCUUCGGAUUGUAAAGCACUUUAAGUUGGGAGGAAGGGCAGUAAGUUAAUACCUUGCUGUUUUGACGUUACCAACAGAAUAAGCACCGGCUAACUUCGUG